UACGUAGGGUGCAAGCGUUGUCCUGAAUUAUUGGGCGUAAAGAGCUCGUAGGCGGUCUGUCGCGUCGGCUGUGAAAUCCCGAGGCUCAACCUCGGGUCUGCAGUCGAUACGGGCAAACUAGAGUAUUGCAGGGGAGACUGGAAUUCCUGGUGGAGCGGUGAAAUGCGUAGAUAUCGCUUGGAACGCCGAAGGUGAAAACAGGCUGCUGGGGUUGUGCCGACGCUGAGACACGAAAGCCAGGGGAGCAAACGGG
rnacentral:rRNA from 1 species